CUUAGUGGCGGACGGGUGAGUAACGCGUGGGGAACCUGCCCUGUACAGGGGGAUAACACUUAGAAAUAGGUGCUAAUACCGCAUAAGCGCACGGGAGCGCAUGCUCCUGUGUGAAAAACUCCGGUGGUAUGGGAUGGACCCGCGUCUGAUUAGCCAGUUGGCAGGGUAACGGCCUACCAAAGCGACGAUCAGUAGCCGGCCUGAGAGGGUGAACGGCCACAUUGGGACUGAGACACGGCCCAAACUCCUACGGGAGGCAGCAG
rnacentral:rRNA from 1 species